GGAGAUGAAAAGGGUGUUGAGCUGUCCCAGGUAAAGGCUGGGCUUAGACGUGGCCUUUGGGUGUGGAAUGCACUUCCGUUUGUAACCGCCAUCUAACCCUGGCCUUUGACAGGUGCGUUCUGACUACAGUGGACCCAGAC
rnacentral:precursor_RNA from 7 species